ACGGGAGGCAGCAGUGAGGAAUAUUGGUCAAUGGACGGGAGUCUGAACCAGCCAAGUAGCGUGAGGGAUGACGGCCAUAUGGUUGUAAACCUCUUUUGCGAGGGAAUAAAGUGCGUCACGUGUGGUGCAUUGCAUGUACCUUGCGAAUAAGGAUCGGCUAACUCCGUGCCAGCAGCCGCGGUAAUACGGAGGAUCCGAGCGUUAUCCGGAUUUAUUGGGUUUAAAGGGAGCGUAGGCGGGAAGUCAAGUCAGCUGUGAAAUGUAGUCGCUCAACGUCUGCACUGCAGUUGAAACUGGUUUUCUUGAGUGCGUAAGAGGCAGGUGGAAUUUGUCGUGUAGCGGUGAAAUGCUUAGAUAUGACGAAGAACUCCGAUUGGGAAGCCAGCUUACUGUAGCGCCACUGACGCUGAUGCUCGAAAGCGUGGGUAUCGAACAGGAUUAGAUACCCUGGUA
rnacentral:rRNA from 1 species